GAUGAACGCUGGCGGCGUGCCUAAUACAUGCAAGUCGAGCGAACAGACGAGGAGCUUGCUCCUCUGACGUUAGCGGCGGACGGGUGAGUAACACGUGGAUAACCUACCUAUAAGACUGGGAAACUUCGGGAAACCGGAGCUAAUACCGGAUAAUAUAUUGAACCGCAUGGUUCAAUAGUGAAAGACGGUUUUGCUGUCACUUAUAGAUGGAUCCGCGCCGCAUUAGCUAGUUGGUAAGGUAACGGCUUACCAAGGCAACGAUGCGUAGCCGACCUGAGAGGGUGAUCGGCCACACUGGAACUGAGACACGGUCCAGACUCCUACGGGAGGCAGCAGUAGGGAAUCUUCCGCAAAGGGCGAAAGCUUGACGGAGCAACGCCGCGUGAGUGAUGAAGGUCUUCGGAUCGUAAAACUCUGUUAUUAGGGAAGAACAAAUGUGUAAGUAACUAUGCACGUCUUGACGGUACCUAAUCAGAAAGCCACGGCUAACUACGUG
rnacentral:rRNA from 1 species